rnacentral:rRNA from 1 species
AUUGAACGCUGGCGGCAUGCCUUACACAUGCAAGUCGAACGGCAGCGCGGGAGCAAUCCUGGCGGCGAGUGGCGAACGGGUGAGUAAUAUAUCGGAACGUGCCCAGUAGUGGGGGAUAGCCCGGCGAAAGCCGGAGUUAUACCGCAUACGACCUACGGGUGAAAGGGGGGGACCGCAAGACCUCUCGCCAUUGGAGCGGCCGAUAUCAGAUUAGGUAGUUGGUGGGGUAAAGGCCUACCAAGCCUGCGAUCUGUAGUUGGUCUGAGAGGACGACCAGCCACACUGGGACUGAGACACGGCCCAGACUCCUACGGGAGGCAGCAGUGGGGAAUUUUGGACAAUGGGCGCAAGCCUGAUCCAGCAAUGCCGCGUGCAGGAAGAAGGCCUUCGGGUUGUAAACUGCUUUUGUCAGGGAAGAAAUCCUCUAGGCUAAUACCUUGGGGGGAUGACGGUACCUGAAGAAUAAGCACCGGCUAACUACGUGCCAGCCGCCGCCGUAAUAC